AGCUGGAGUAUCUCAGUUGGUUAGAGCGUGUGGCUGUUAAUCACAAGGUCAAAGAUUCAACCCCUUCCUCUAGCGUAGCGUA
rnacentral:tRNA from 1 species